rnacentral:misc_RNA from 1 species
CUGAUUACCAGCUCUAUGGGUUGAUUCGAAAGAGUCCUCGUAGAGUUGAUCAACCCUUUGUGCACUGUUUUGUUUUUUGGGUUUCGUCGUUUAGAUGAGGCCCAGCAUUUAUACAAACCAUACCAAUUUUGACUUAAUCCUAUGAAAAUAGAAA